rnacentral:rRNA from 1 species
GGAAUAUUGGACAAUGGGGGCAACCCUGAUCCAGCCAUGCCGCGUGUGUGAAGAAGGCCUUAGGGUUGUAAAGCACUUUCAGUGGGGAGCAAGGUGGUCUGGUUAAUCACCGGAUCAAUUGAUGUUACCCACAGCAGACGCACCGGCUACCUCCGUGCCAGCAGCCGCGGUAAUACGGAGGGUGCAAGCGUUAAUCGGAAUUACUGGGCGUAAAGCGCACGUAGGCGGUUUGUUAAGCCAGCUGUGAAAUCCCCGGGCUCAACCUGGGAAUUGCAGUUGGAACUGGCAAGCUAGAGUAUGGUAGAGGGGUGUGGAAUUUCAGGUGUAGCGGUGAAAUGCGUAGAUAUCUGAAGGAACAUCAGUGGCGAAGACGACACCCUGGAUCAAUACUGACGCUGAGGUGCGAAAGCGUGGGGAGCA